UCCUGGUUAACCCAGGCAGUCUCAUUAGAGUGCCCAACAUUACUUGAUGGCAACUAAUGACAAGGGUUGCGCUCGUUGCGGGACUUAACCCAACACCUCACGGCACGAGCUGACGACAGCCAUGCAGCACCUGUGUAGCAGUCCCUUGCGGGAAAGUGUUAUUUCUAACACGGUCUACUACAUGUCAAGCCCAGGUAAGGUUCUUCGCGUUGCAUCGAAUUAAACCACAUGCUCCACUGCUUGUGCGGGUCCCCGUCAAUUCUUUUGAGUUUUACCCUUGCGAGCGUACUCCCCAGGCGGUAUACUUAUCGCGUUAGCUUCGGCACAGUUGGGGUUGAGCCCAACUACGCCAAGUAUACAUCGUUUACGGCAAGGACUAC
rnacentral:misc_RNA from 1 species